UACGUAGGGCGCAAGCGUUGUCCGGAAUUACUGGGCGUAAAGGGCUCGUAGGCGGCCAACUAAGUCAGACGUGAAAUCCCUCGGCUUAACCGGGGAACUGCGUCUGAUACUGGAUGGCUUGAGUUCGGGAGAGGGAUGCGGAAUUCCAGGUGUAGCGGUGAAAUGCGUAGAUAUCUGGAGGAACACCGGUGGCGAAGGCGGCAUCCUGGACCGACACUGACGCUGAGGAGCGAAAGCCAGGGGAGCAAACGGG
rnacentral:rRNA from 1 species